CCCUAUCUACCUGCAACGCCACUUUCAGGAAAAGGAUGUUUUAAAAAAUAUACAGGCUGAUAGAGAAUGGAGUAAAUUGGGUCCCAUGGAGUUCAUGAAACAAGGGUGAGAGUUAUUAAAUUAAGACAAUAGAUUUUAGGGUAUCAGGUACAUUCGGAAAAUAAGCUCUUGAAAAUAGAUCAUAGCAUGCAUUAUUCUACCAAUCAGUAAGUUUUCCUUAACUGAGAGAAAGCCUUUGGUUUUCAAUUCUCAGAUAGAUGCCCCAGCUCUCACCUGAGAAAUGAGGGGGGACCCAAUUGAAACAUACCUAAUAAUGAAAAGCUUGGAUAGAGUGGAUGUGGAGAGGAUGUUUCCACACGUGGGGGAAAUCUAGGACUAGAGGUCAUAGCCUCAGAAUUAAAGGAAGUUCCUUUAGGAAGGAGAUGAGAAGGAAUUUAUUUAGCCAGAGGGUGGUGAAUCUGUGGAAUUCUUCGCCACAGAAGGCUGUGGAGGCCAAGUCUAUGGAUAUUUUUAAAGCAGAGAUAGAUAGAUUCUUGAUUAGUACCGGUGUGAGGGGUUAUGGGGAGAAGGCAGGAGAAAGGGGUUAGGAGGGAGAGAUAGAUCAGCCAAGAUUGAAUGAAGGAGUUGACUAGACGGGCUGAAUGGCCUAAUUCUGCUCCUAUCACUUACGACCUUAUGACCUAACAUACCAUUUACUGACGGCAAAUUGAGGAAUUCUAGCCCGAGAGGGGAAUGGCCUCCUGACCAGCUUCCACCUUUCCUCAGAAUACAUUUUUAUGUAUACAGUAUCAGCUGCCAACUGAAGGCUGAAAUACUUUUGUCCAGAUGCCUGGAGUGGAAAUUUGAUUGCCGUCCCCACAAGUUCAAACUUGCAUUUGGGUUUGAAUAAGAUAUCACAAGGAAAUCUGCAUUCGCUUUAUCUUGCUGUGGCGUUACACCCGAGCAGGGCUCGAACUGAAGUGUAUGUCAAGCGCACACACACACACAAAAAAAAUCUGGCUUGAAUUCAAAAGUGACCAGGCACCAAAAGAAACAACGAAAGCGAACCGUACAUUUAUAGACUUUAUGGCAUGAUGCCAUAGUAACGAGCAGAGUAUAGUUUGGAACAAAACAGAAACUACUGUAGUGUCUGCAGAGCGAACUGACAGGUCAACACUUUAGGCUCUCUAUAGAACUGCAAAGUGACAGAUGAGUGAGCAUUUUAAAAGAAUCACCAAGAAAAGAGUUGGGGUGGAGUGGGUGAUGUAAAGGUGGAAUAAACAAACAAAUGGACAAACACAGGACAGAAAAUAUCAGAGGAAUGAGUGGUGGAUAGCAAAUUGAAAUGGUGGCAGGAAAUCGAAUUGGAAUAUUUUUCAUUUACCUCUGCAAAAGAUGGCAGAUAAUUCUGGUACAACUUGGAUUGUUUCCUCUGGAACGUUAGAGGCUGAGGUCUGAAGAAGGGUCUCGAUCCGAACUAUCACCCAUUCCUACUAUCCAGUGAUGCUGCCUGCCCCGCUGAGUUAUUCGAACUUUUUGUGUCUAUCAUGUUAAGCACUGUCAUUGUGGGCCAAAGGGCUUGUUCCUGUGCUGUACUCUAUGUUUUAUGUUUGAUUUAGAUGAUUUGAAAGCUGGAGGAACACACAGAGUACCAGCACAUUUGGAAGGGCAUCACCCGGCUGCAAGGCUUCCAACAUCUGAAAAGCAAUAUUACAGGGAGUGCGGAAGAACAUAUCAGAGUGACACUAUUUAGAUCACUCUAUCAGAAAGGCCUCUGUAAAUUGCCCCUGGUGUGUACGGAGUGGAUGAGAAAGUGGGAUAAUGUAGAAGUAGUGUGAAUAGGUGAUCACUGGUCGGCGUGGAUUCGGUGGGCUGAAGGGCAUGUUUCCGUGCCGUAUCACUAAAUUAAACAAGAACAAACUUGAACAAGCACGUGUUCACCCGACGCCGGAGUUCCAGCUUUCCGGCAAGAGGGCCUGAAAACAUCGGACUGGCUGCAGAGGCCACAAUAGGCCCCGACUAUGGGUGAACAGGGGAUGAGACUGGACUUUGCUGCCUUCCACCACAGUGGGAACCAUUGCGGGGGGAGUUUACGUUUAUUGUUAAAUUCUUUAAUGUUGUGUCUUAUCUUUGUUCGUGUGCUGCAAUGGCAAGUCAAAUUUCAUGACACCAUUUGGUGUAUGUGAUAAUAAAUGUCCUUUGUAUCCUUGUAUUGGAAACAGGCUCUUCAGCCCAUUGAGUCUGUGCCAACCAGCGAUCCUCGUACACUAACACCAUCCUACACGCGAGAGACAAUUUAUA